rnacentral:rRNA from 1 species
UAUGUGAUCGUCUCUCGCAUAUCAAUAAGCGGAGGAAAAGCUGUUACCUACGCUUAGGAUGUUGACACACGCGCGUGCUCGACUCUAUACAUGACUCUGUGCAUAUCAAUAAGCGGAGGAAAAGGCUGCGGAACUGAACGACCGCUACCUACGCUUAGGAUGUUGACACACGCGCGUGCUCGACUCUAUACAUGACUCUGUGCAUAUCAAUAAGCGGAGGAAAAGAAACUAACAAGGAUUCCCCUAGUAACGGCGAGUGAAGCGGGAAGAGCUCAAAUUUGAAAUCUUAAAGGGUUUCCCUUUACGAAUUGUAGUUUAAAGAAGUGUUUUCUGUUGAGGUUUUGGUAAAAGUUCUUUGGAAUAGGACAUCAUAGAGGGUGAGAAUCCCGUAUUUGACCUUUACCUUCAACUUUGUGAUACACUUUCAAAGAGUCGGAUUGUUUGGGAAUGCAGUCCAAAAUGGGUGGUAAAUUUCAUCUAAAGCUAAAUAUUGGCGAGAGACCGAUAGCGAACAAGUACCGUGAGGGAAAGAUGAAAAGAACUUUGAAAAGAGAGUUAAACAGUACGUGAAAUUGUCAAAAGGGAAGCGUUUGACACCAGUGUUGUUUUUCUGAAAAUCAAUUAAAGAACUGUUUAUGCUAAGCUGUUUAGACUUUAUCAGCUAUCUGUUUAGUUUUGAGCUUUUCUUUAAUGCACUUUUCAGUUAACAAGUCAACAUCAAUUUCUUUUGCUGUAAAAAAGCUUGAGGAAGGUGGCUUGAGAUUCGUCUUAAGUGUUUAUAGCCUCUUGCCUAUGCAGUCGGAGAGAUUGAGGUCUGCAGCGUAGAUCCUUCGGGGCUAAAUGCAUUUGUGCUAAGUUAUAACAUUUUAUAGACAACUUGUUGACUAUGAUUUGUCUUGUAGCUUACUCGCUUAUGUUAUUUUACCUACGCUUAGGAUGUUGACACACGCGCGUGCUCG